rnacentral:ncRNA from 2 species
GGCACCCGCUGGGGGUGUUGGCACGACCGCAAGGCGCGCCGACUGAGAGAGUCCCUUUGAACCUGAUUGAGGUAAUCCUCGCGCAGGGAAGCAAGUUUCGAGGCCU